ACUUGAUGAUACUUUUAGAUGACGAGUCAGAUGUGUUGCACAAUGCUGAUAAAAACUUUUAUUACCAUUCAUGCAUUGCUGAUG
rnacentral:snoRNA from 1 species